rnacentral:rRNA from 1 species
UAUGUGUGCCCAAGCAUUGAGGCAGUCAAAGUAGGCAAAUCCGCUUUGAUAAUGCUGGGAUGUGAUGGGGAGCGAAAUUUAGUAGCGAAGUAGCUGAUUUCACACUGUCAAGAAAAGUCUCUAUCGAGGUUAAAGGUACCCGUACCGCAAACCGACACAGGUGGGUGAGGAGAGUAUCCUAAGGCCAGCGAGAGAACUGUUGUUAAGGAACUCGGCAAAAUGACCCCGUAACUUAGGGAUAAGGGGUGCCACCAUCAGGUGGCCGCAGAGAAUAGGCCCAAGCGACUGUUUACCAAAAACAUAGGUUUCUGCUAAGUCGCAAGACGAUGUAUAGGAGCUGACGCCUGCCCGGUGCUGGAAGGUUAAGGGGA